GAGUUUACUCUAGGGUUUGAGGUAAAGAUGCAGAGCAACAAUGGUAAUGAAUCUCAAGACAAUAAGCAGCCGCCACCGCCGUCGUCACAGGCAGCGACGUCUCCGGCGGCGCAACAAGGAGUGAGUGCUGCAGCGGUUGUACCCGUGGCGGCGGCGGCGCCAGCAGGGGCGCAGCAGCAGCCGUGGGUGGCGAUGCAGUACCCGGCGGCGGCGAUGGUAAUGCAGCAUCCAAUGAUGCCGGCCCCACAUUAUCCACCGCACUAUAUGCCGUUUCAUCCACAACACCAUCACCACCUUAUCCACCACCCACCGCACUCACCGUCACCGCAUCAACAAGGUGGAGGUGGAGGAUCUAAUAAUAAUGAGAAUCGAACGAUCUGGGUGGGUGACCUUCAUAAUUGGAUGGAUGAGGAUUAUCUACGUAGCUGCUUCGCUACCACUAAUGAGGUUGCCUCCAUCAAGGUAAUUCGCAAUAAACAGACUGGUUUCUCUGAAGGGUAUGGUUUUGUGGAGUUCUUCACACAUGCAUCUGCCGAGAAAGUUCUGCAGACAUAUUCUUGCAUGACAAUGCCUAAUGCGGAACAACCUUUCCGUCUGAAUUGGGCUACAUUCAGUAUGGGUGACAAGCGAGCAAACAAUGGUUCCGAUCUGUCCAUCUUUGUAGGAGACUUAGCUGCAGAUGUUACUGAUACCUUACUGCUUGAUACUUUCUCCCUAAAAUACCCCUCUGUUAAAGCUGCUAAGGUUGUCAUUGAUGCCAACACUGGUCGUUCUAAAGGAUAUGGUUUUGUAAGGUUUGGAGAUGAUAAUGAGAGGUCUUCAGCUAUGAAUGAAAUGAAUGGUGUGUAUUGUUCAAGCAGGCCUAUGCGAAUUGGUGCCGCCACACCACGGAAAUCAUCAGGAUAUCCACAACAAUAUUCUUCUCAAGGUGGAUACUCCAACGGUGGACCAGCUCAAGGAUCACAACCUGAUGCAGAUUCUACAAAUACCACAGUUUGUUAACUACUCUAUUCUUUAAUCUUACUCUUUUUCUAAUUUUUGAGUCCCCUUGGCUAACCGAUAUUGUCAUAGAUUUUUGUUGGAGGUCUUGACCCCAAUGUCAGUGAUGAAGAUCUUAGACAGCCUUUUGCACAGUAUGGUGAAAUAGUUUCUGUAAAAAUUCCAGUUGGGAAAGGAUGUGGAUUUGUGCAAUUCGCAAAGAGGAAUGAUGCAGAGGAAGCCUUACAGAAGUUGAACGGAACUGCUAUUGGCAAGCAAACGGUGCGCCUUUCUUGGGGACGAAACCCAGCAAAUAAACAGCCACGAUCUGAUUUUGGGAACCAGUGGACUGGGCCAUACUAUGGAGGACAUUUCUAUGAUGGUUAUGGGUAUGCAUUCCCGCAACCGCACGACCCGGGGAUGUAUGCUGCUGCCUAUGGGGCUUAUCCAGUGUAUGGUACUCACCAGCAACAAGUAAGCUGAAAGUCUUGCGCUGAGUUCCUCUGCUUGAAUAGCGAAUGUGCUUAAUUUAUUUGUUUCAAGCAUGGAAUGUAGAAUUUAAUCAAAUCCCUCCAGAUGAGGAGUGGAACUGAAUUUUGACUGGAUGUGUUAGUCUCCUAGGGAUUCUAUUAAACAUUUAUUUAGAAGUUUGGACUUUAGACAUGAAACUUCUUGGAUGGAAUAAAUCAUAAUCAUCCACUGUGGUACAUGUUAUGUACUUCAGAAAGCGAAAUGGUGCUUGCAAAAUAUUCAGAUUUUGUGGAUGCAAAUCAAUUCUUUUGACAAA
rnacentral:misc_RNA from 1 species